GAAGGCGGGGAUGACCAGCCGGCAGACGGGGCCAACACACUGCCAAUGUGGGGUCUGGUUGAACAUGUUUAAUAUGUAUUCUUGUGCUACUGUGGCUGUAACAAACCUCAGUUCUCAUGAGAACAACAGAGUUACCUUCAAAAGUCAGUGCCAUUAAACAGGAAGUGUUAUUAUUCAGUCCCUCCUGACCUUUGGGCAGAAAGCCACCAUGAGCCCAGUCAAGCAUGGGCUUUAUCUGCUCUUCAAGACUGUCUGACUCACAUGGAGGAAAAGUCUUCUCUGCGCGAAUACUAGCCACCUGAGGGACACACAGCAAGAGGACAAGAUAGAAAGAGAAUAGUAUUUCAGCUUUAUGGAAGUCAACUAUCCUUGAUCUUAACAGUUCAGCCAGCGCCACACUAGCAGACUCAAAACAAAAUCAAUCUUGGUCGAAGGUGUCACACCUGCUGAUUAUUUUGCUGAGAUCUCACUGUCUUCAGUCGGAGGUAUGACACAAUUGAUAUAAAAUGUGGUGAAAAACAUACCAACUCACCGCAAUUCUCUCUCUCUUAAUCCCGGUCACGGUUAGCUUGCCAAAAUAACAAAAGGAGUACCGCAUGAGCAUAGGCAAUUGUAAAAGAGUGAUUUAGGAUGUGAUUUAUGGAGUAACUUUCCCUUGUGAAAGUGUGCAAUUGUGUAUUUAUCCCCGAGGCUUGACGUAGAACACAUAUG